UACGGAGGGUGCAAGCGUUAUCCGGAUUUACUGGGUUUAAAGGGUGCGUAGGCGGUUUCCUAAGUUUGAUGUGAAAUCCCGGGGCUUAACCCUGGAAUUGCAUUGAAUACUGGGAGACUAGAGUACUGGAGAGGAAACUGGAAUUUACGGUGUAGCAGUGAAAUGCGUAGAGAUCGUAAGGAAGACCAGUGGCGAAGGCGAGUUUCUGGACAGUUACUGACGCUGAGGCACGAAGGCCAGGGGAGCAACCGGG
rnacentral:rRNA from 1 species